rnacentral:lncRNA from 1 species
GUAACAGUCUGAAGUAUGCAACACAUAGACAAAAGACAUCUGUCCUUAGAGUGCACUGUUGUCUUCAAGUGGUUGUCUUCUCCUACGUGGAUGGAAUUCAUUGCAGAUAACUCAAGGCAACAAAAAUUAGUCUUGUGGUUAGCCUGGGUUUUAGAUGACAGAGUAACAACUUGUUCAGUGUUCUUACAGAUAUCAUCACUUGUUAUUUAUUUCCAUUGACUACAAAGGAUGGAAAUACUGUUGUAGUCUUACAUAACUACUAAUUUAAAUGCUUAGGUAAAAUGGAUUCUGUCUGAGAUGCUUGGCUACUUUGGUGCACAAUUUAUGCCUCUGCGUAAGACACAGAUUUCCCUUUAACUGUCAGGCCCUGUAAUUAAUGAACAGACACUUCUGUUGAAGAUUUGAUGUAGCAAGAUUCUAUUAGUACAUAGGUCUCUCCAGUCAAGGCCUCCUAUUUAUUUCCAUGGAAAGUACCACAGAUACAAAGAACACAAUAAUGCUAUUUGAUAGAGCAAAUUCUCUUCUGCAAAACACUAUUUUUCAACAAUGGUGGUGACUAUAACUAUGCAGUUUUGCCAGCGAUGAACAAGAGUCUGCAUGCCACGCCCUUAAAAAUCUGCACCAGAUGAGGUGAUCCACUGGUGAUCCACUGUCGCCACUGCUGAAACACACUUCCUACUGCUUCACUGAGCUCACAUCCUCCGUUUGGUCUCCAUAAACAUUCAGCAAGCAUCAACAAGCGUGUGCCGUAUUUUCCUCAUGGAGGAAUUCAAUGACAUAUCUUUGCUUCAUGUGCAUUUCCAUGUCAGACAUUAUUUUGUCUCACUGCCCCUCUGCUGCCAUCUGUCACAUAGCAGCAAGAUGUAAUGGAAUAUUACAGAAUCAUAGAAUGGCUUAGGUUGGAGCGGACCCUGAAGAUCAUCUACUUCCUGCCCCUGGGUGCCUCCAGAGAUGGGGUGUCCACAACCUCUCUGGACAUCCAGUUCCAGCAUCUGAGUAAAAACUUUCUUCCUAACAUCUAGCCUGAAUCUCUCCUCUUUUAGUUUUAAACCAUUUCCCCUUGCCCUGUCACUAUCAAACUAUGUAAAAAGUAGCCCCUCAGUCCCCCUCCUGCUUGUAAGCUUACUUCAAGUACUGGAAGGCUGCAAUGAGGUCUCCCUGGAGCCUUCUCUUCUCCAAGCUAAACAUGCUCAAAUCCCUCAACCUUUCUUCAUAGGAGAGGUACUCUAGCCCUUUGGUCAUCUUUGCAUCUUUGCAGCCUUCAAUAUUAGCAGGAAGGUUCAACCUUUACUGCUGUACCACCACCACUGUGCCAACUCUUGCUUUUCUUUUUACUUGUUUGUUGAUACCGUGGCUGCAGUUCUUCCUCUGCCCUAAGGGAGGGAAACAGAAAAAGUGGAGUGACAGGGGAAUAGGAAAGAAAGAAAUUUAUAUGAGAAAAUAUGAGACAGAUGGACAAGUAAGAGAAGGAAAAAGCAGGGACAUAAAUUUUGAGGAAAGAGAAAGGAAAGGUUUUAUAGAAAGCAUUAGAAUAUAGAACACAUUAACAGAUGGACAGGGAACUAGGGAGAUGGACUGUUUACUGUCAGUGUUAACUGAGAAAAGUUUGAUUUACCAUAAAGAGUGACGCUUUAUUUUUUCCAACUGGAUGUUGGAUUCUUUUGUAGCCUCACUGUUUACAGAAAUGGAAAUUUGAAAACAUGGCCCAUUACAGGCAUCCAUAAAAGUAUUUAGAUUUUCCAGAAAUUCAGAGUGGAGGUUCCAAAUGAUGUUUCUUUAUUUUCAGAGCCUUGGCUGAGCUGGCAGAAGAGAUACUUUUUAAUUUGGGCUGUUUUCUAGGUGGUCCAAAGACUCUACCGCCUCACUGGAGCUGAAAGACUCAUCUGUUUGUGAUGCCCAGGCUUCCCUGCGGAGUCCUCACCAUAGUGUUAAAUCACCACUCCUUUGAUAUCGUGGUUGUUUGCAUAACAGGGACAACAAGAACGAGAAGUGGAGUAAGGGAUCUCUAUAGGAGACUCCUCUACUGAUCUUCAUGAAGCUAAGCAGCUACAGUGGUGACAACAUGCAGUCCUGACAGCUUCCAUCCAGCAUGUGCUUUGGGUAGAUCAGAAACAUUCUGAAUUGUGCUUCCACUAACGAUCAUUGACAGAUAGAAAUUAAUUAAUAGCGGAGCUCGGGCUUUCCAGUUAUGCAGUUGGUGCCAAUUCCUCACAAUCAACAACCAGGAAAUGGACAUCAUUAAUAGAUUAAUCGCAUGUGCUGGAAAACAGAAAGCCAGCUGACUAUGCCCCUGUGAGAAGCAUAGGCAGUGUUUGGCUCGCAGUGGUUUCACUGAGGAAGAGGCAGGAAGUGUAGCUUGGGAGAGAUGCCCAGUAUUAUGGAUUAAUUAACAGUCUGUAUUCCUUCUCCCUAUGGACUUAAUGGACCUAUACUGUCUUCUGCCUAUGGCAGACAGCAGAAAGAGAUGAGACUCUCGAGGGGAUGAUUCAUCCUCUUCAAUGAUAAGUAUCUGACACAGCCUGAAUGGAAAUUCUGGGCUCAGUUGUGCAAAGGAAAGAUUCUGGGACCUCCAUGAACCCCUUCUGCAGAUUUCACCUGAGCAACUUUAUCAGUAACACGAUGACCCUCUGGGCAGGAUUAAUUUCUGGACUACAGCAGCUGACCUGAGAUGAC